ACUUACUGGAGGUCCGAACCCACGCACGUUGAAAAGUGCGGGGAUGAGGUGUGGGUAGCGGAGAAAUUCCAAUCGAACUUGGAGAUAGCUGGUUCUCUCCGAAAUAGCUUUAGGGCUAGCCUCGAGGUAAAGAGUCAUGGAGGUAGAGCACUGUUUGGACUAGGGGCCCUUCUCGGGUUACCGAAUUCAGAUAAACUCCGAAUGCCAUGUACUUAUACUCGGGAGUCAGACUGCGAGUGAUAAGAUCCGUAGUCGAAAGGGAAACAGCCCAGACCACCAGUUAAGGUCCCCAAAUAUAUGUUAAGUGGAAAAGGAUGUGGGGUUGCUUAGACAACCAGGAUGUUGGCUUAGAAGCAGCCACCAUUGAAAGAGUGCGUAAUAGCUCACUGGUCGAGUGACCCCGCGCCGAAAAUGUACCGGGGCUAAACAUAUUACCGAAACUGUGGAUGAACCUCUUCGGAGGUUCGUGGUAGGAGAGCGUUCUAAGGGCGGUGAAGUCAGACCGGAAGGACUGGUGGAGCGCUUAGAAGUGAGAAUGCCGGUAUGAGUAGCGAAAGAAGGGUGAGAAUCCCUUCCACCGAAUAUCUAAGGUUUCCUGAGGAAGGCUCGUCCGCUCAGGGUUAGUCGGGACCUAAGCCGAGGCCGAUAGGCGUAGGCGAUGGACAACAGGUAGAGAUUCCUGUACCAGUGCUAAUUGUUUAACCGAUGGGGUGACACAGAAGGAUAGGGAAUCGCACGAAUGGAAAUGUGCGUCCAAGCAGUGAGUGUGAGAAGUAGGCAAAUCCGCUU
rnacentral:rRNA from 2 species